rnacentral:rRNA from 1 species
GACGAACGCUGGCGGCGUGCUUAACACAUGCAAGUCGAACGGAAAGGCCCUGCUUUUGUGGGGUGCUCGAGUGGCGAACGGGUGAGUAACACGUGAGUAACCUGCCCUUGACUUUGGGAUAACUUCAGGAAACUGGGGCUAAUACCGGAUAGGAGCUCCUGCUGCAUGGUGGGGGUUGGAAAGUUUCGGCGGUUGGGGAUGGACUCGCGGCUUAUCAGCUUGUUGGUGGGGUAGUGGCUUACCAAGGCUUUGACGGGUAGCCGGCCUGAGAGGGUGACCGGCCACUGUGGGACUGAGAUCCGGCCCAGUCUCCGGGGGGGGGAAGAGGGGGGGAAUAUUGAAAAGGGGGCGGAGGCGUUAGGCAGCAACGCCGGGGGGGGGAUGCGGGCUUUGGGUUGAUAACCCGCUUUCGCCGGUGACGAAGCGGGAGUGACGGUAGUGGGUAAAGAAGCACCGGCAAACUACGUG